GAGAUUGUAGCUCAGCAGGUUAGAGCGUCGGAUUGUGGUUCCGAAGGUCGCGGGUUCGAACCCCGUCUUUCUCC
rnacentral:tRNA from 1 species